CAGACCUCUCCUCCGGCUUACCUGAAGCAUCAAGGAAGCGCCGGACCGAGGAAACUUCACCUUCCUCCGGGGACUCCAUGCAAUCUAACUUGCCGGCUUUCAAGACCGCACCCGGUGCACAAGCAAAGCUCAGCAAGAGGGCAAAGAAAAGUAACCCGGUCGAAGAGCCGGUCUUGACUGAACCCAACGCCUCUGCCUCUGAGCCGCCGUCUGCACCAGCUCCAGAAACCACCGCUCCAACUGAAGAACAAGCCAUGGAGGGUUCUGACAACUCGGAGAUUCCCAACCCAGCUCAACCGGCCGAUGACCCGGAUGUGGUGAUUACCUGGACCGAAU